AGGGAAGUAACGGGAGAUUGGGUGGCGCGCUGCUGCUCCUUGCUUGGGCUGGUAGCGGUGGCGCUGCGGGGAAGAUGUCGGGCGGGGAGGCCUGCGACGGAAAGAAGCUGGUUCGCUCGUCCAGCGGUCUCCGCAUGGUGCCCGAGCACCACGCCGCCCGCAGCCCUUUCGGCCUGGACGAGCCGCCUUGGGUGCCUGAUAAGGACUGUCCAAGAUGUAUGCAGUGUGAAACUAAGUUUGAUUUCAUAACCAGAAAGCACCACUGCCGGAGAUGUGGGAAGUGCUUUUGUGACAAGUGCUGCAGUAAAAAAGUGCCUCUGUCUCGUAUGUGCUUUGUAGAUCCUGUGCGUCAGUGUGCUGAAUGUGCUCUCAUCUCUCAGAAAGAAACGGAAUUUUAUGACAAGCAGCUUAAAGUGCUUAUGAAUGGUGCUACAUUCUCUGUUGCUCGGGGAACAUCAGAAAAAUCUGAGAUGAUGGUUUGUCGACUUUCCAACAACCAGAGAUAUCUGUUUCUGGAUGGAGACAGCCAUUAUGAAAUUGAAAUUGCACAGAUUUCGACUGUCCAGAUUCUUACCGAGGGAUUUACUCCUGGAGAAAAAGAUAUUCACACUUAUACCAGCCUUCUGGAGAGCCAACAUAUUACUGAAGGGGGCAAUACUCGUGCCACAGGUAUGCUCCUGCAGUAUAAGGUACCAGGGUCAGAGGAGCUCACACAGAUGAAAUUUACUGCCAGUGAAGACUUCAAUUCCAACAAGAAGCUGUCAGCAGCCUGGCUAGCAGCUAUGCAUAAGCUCCCUGAAGCCAGCCCUGUAAGCCGUGUCGUCAGUCGCCCCUCCCUCAGUCAGAGCAACAGCAGACAAUCGUUCCAUGCCUUUUUUCUGUGCGGACGCCAUACCAAGGCAAGCAUGGAGGUGGCUCAGCUCACUUUGGCAAUUAGGAGCACAUUAAAUACCACACGCAUUAUCCAGCAGUAUAUACAGCACCAGAACCUGGCAAAGCGAUACCAGCUUCACUAGCCUCUGGGAAGGAGAAGAUCCUGUGAUCAUUGAAACACAUGCAGCUAGUGGAGAAAAAAAAGGGACAGCGGUAUUUGAAGAGACACAUUUUAUAAAACAGUGGCUACACUCUUUCAGGGCAGCAAAACUCCUUUAUGAAUCCCGGGACCAAUAACAGCAGCAAGUUGUCUGAGCUCUGACGGAAGAGACCAGCUCUAUGAAAAACCGCUUCUCACUUUUUGCUAGUUACUUUGAUCCAUGGUAAUUGGUAUUAUGAACCCCUCUACCCCAAAUGUGGUUCAUUAUGUAAGCACUGGCAAAUGCAAUGUGAGUAUUUUGGAACCAUGAGUAUUCACUUAUCUAGUGUGCAAUAUGUAUACAAUUAAUGCUUUAAACAUAGCCUCAUGUAUAAGACUUCAUUAUUUUGUUAAAUCUUAUUGGCACUUAAUAUGGAAAACGAAAGUAUGACCUGCACUACAGCUAAAAUGUAUAGCACAAUUUUUGUAGUACCAAUUAUGUAUACUAUAUGUAUUUAAUUUGUUGGCUACAAACAGCAAACAAAUGUAUUUGUAAGUCUCUUCUACAGAGAUCUCAGGUGUUUUUCUUAUCCAAAUGUUGAAGAUCAAUGUACAAUGAAAUCUGCCUUAGAUACCCUUUUAUAGAAAUAAUCAUUUUGGGUUCUUAUCAUGUGAUCAAACACUUAGAUAAGUUUCACCAAAUACCACAAACUGGGUUGUAUGAACAUGACCUCUUGGAGCCACCCGUAUGUAGGAAAAUACAAGCUUCCAGAAAAUGAUUUUGAAGUUUUGUAUUCAUUUUACUUGUUGUAAUGACCUUUUGCUAAUUAAUCUGAUUAUUGUAACUAAUGUUUGGACAUACUGUAUACAGUAUUUUAAAUGUACAAGUCUUAUGGAUCAGAUGAAUUCAUACUUAUUGAAAAUAAGCAAAAUGCUCAAGAUAGCAUUUACUUUAACUUGCUAAGCAACUUAAGCUAACUUUCAACCUUAAAGACUUCAAUAUUCUUGGUUUGAGUGGAGGAGAGAAUAAAAGGCUAUUUACAAUA